UUAUUUGACGUCUUUCCUGUAUUUUGCCUAGUGUUCGAGUGAGCAUGAUGACCACAAGUGUGUGUCGAACUUUUCAUGACCUGAUGACUGUGUUUCCCAAUCCUGAUCCUGGAGAACCCCAGCACUGCACGGUUUUGGUGUCUCUCUUAUCUGCCUUGGAGUCUUCACUGAUGAGCUGAUGAGUUGAAUCAGGUCUAAAAUAUCAAGCUCAACAGCUCACUCAAGAGCCAACCCUCACAAACCUUCCUAAAAACUAAAAGAGCUAUUACUGAGUCUCAGCGAAUCUUGCCAUGAUCAGCUCUUCCCAGAAGAGAAGGAAGACCAAGGAAAUGAUUUGCUCAGGAUGAGGAAUGAAGAUGGCCAUCUUGUGCUCAAACAAACAGAAGUCCUCUGAUGAUCUCAUCAGCCAAAUGAGGGGUUUUGACCAAGUGAUGCUCUUGAAAGGAGUGAAAGAAGAGGAUGUGGUAAAUUGUCUUCAGAGAAAAAGCUUCUCAAAAGGUCUUAAAGCAGCUUGAAGAAUGGUCUGGGAUCUUAGGACUGAGAGAUCCUCUGGCUGAGAACAAGCUACACCACAUCAGUGCUGGAUAUCAACCACAAACUGUUUCCAGACACGAGAGAAGAAGAACACGAUGGGGAGAUGAAACCAGUUUAGAUGUGAUGAUGG